ACACUUCCUUGUCAGCAGAGACCAGGAUUGAGAAGGUGGCUUUCCCAAGGUGAGGCCUGUCCAUUGUAUUUGAGAUGGGCGGACUAGGCCUGAGAUGCCCCACUACCACGUGAUUUGUGAUAACGGGGAGCUUCACUGAUGUUCUCCCCU
rnacentral:snRNA from 1 species